GCUUUUGUAGUAUAAAUAGUAUAUUAGUCUUCCAAACUGAGGGUUCUCUACUGGGACAGAAGCU
rnacentral:tRNA from 1 species